ACCUCUUCGGUCGACGCUUAUUCUGUGUGAAUGUUUGAUGCACCUACCUACAACCCUUCGCAUCCCCUCUUUAUUCCUAUCUCUUGUGCAAUACUUUGGUGGACUGUAAACGAGAUAUAUCUUGAUGUUUUGAUUCGGCAUCUAUUAUGUUAUGGGGCAUUUUGUGUUUGUGUGGCACCAUGAUGUGCGAGCUUUAGAAGAUGAAAGGGGCGACUAGCGGGUGUUAUUAUUGUCAUCGGAUUCACCACUAAUUUACAACCAAUUCUAUUCAUUUUGGAGGAAGAACAAGGUGUUUGAUAAAAUGUUUCAGCCAAUCGAUCCUCUUGAGUCUUGACAUUUUAUUGCUAUAUGUUACUACAGAAGCUAUGAGCAGACUGAGAGUUAGUGAGAAAGAGGAUGAUGUUGAUAAUGAUGAUUCAGAGCAUUUUCCGGAUCGUCCCGAUGAACUAAAUUGCUUAUAUUGUCUCAGGACCGGAAUGUGCGGUUAUGAUGCUACUUGUCGAUUUAAUCAUCCUUCUAAAAUAGAGCUCAAGGUACUUUCUCAGAACCAAGGCAUUGUUGCACAUUGGCAUUGUCCAUUCCAUAACUUAGGUAUUUAAAGCUACCACGGCAAAGAAUUGUAUAUGAAAUACUGAAAUUGUAGAACAUGAUUGCUGGAGCAGCGGAAAUGGAGGGAGGUAUCUUGGUUGUAUCCGCUCCAGACGGGCCAAUGCCUCAAAUAAAGGAACAUAUUCUACUUGCUCGUCAGGUUUCACGCCUUGUCUUUGAUGUUCAGAUUUUUGUAAAAACAAGAUAAUGUUUUAAAUCUUUUAAGUAUCCAAUUUUGGUCGAAUUAUAUAAAUGAGGCUGUAUAUAGAUUAAACGUGAUGUUAUUAUAUGGAAGCCUCAGCAAAUUAUGAACCCGGCAUACUUUGAGCUCGAUAAACCUGAUUUUGAGCCUAUUGCUGCUAUUGGCAUUGAAAUUCGAACAAAUUCAAGAUGUUAUAUUGUUUGAUAAUAUAUUGAUAGCAAAUGACGAAAAGGUUGCAGGAUCAUACAGACAGACCACAUGGAAGCCAAAAUUUGAUGUUGAGAAAGAGAAACAGAAGGCCAAGGAAGAAACAAGCAGUCUUUCCAAAAGUCUUAAUGUUUUCAGGUAAUUAAUCUAUUUAGUGUUUUGCAUUUCUUUUUUCCUUUAGGUGUAGUUUCUCGUGGCUUAUUCCUUUAGGUGUAAUAUCAUGACCAACUAUACAAGACUGCAGAGUGCAGACAUUCAUGUCUUGCAGAAUCACAAAUUCAAAAUUUUGGAUCUCAUUGAAAAAGCAGAAAGGCAACCAAAACUUACAAUUGGUGUGCUUGUAUCUAUUGUCGUGGUUAUUUUCACUGCUUUGAUAAAACUUCUAUUCGGCCGAGAAAAAACUGAGUUUAUAAACUUUUCUAUAGUAGUUUAGUGCUUCUAUUUAAUUUGGAGAUUUCUCACUACCGGGCAACUUGUACAUGAUUACAGGCAACACCAAAGGUCAGUGUAAAACCGGCAAAGGAAGAAGUAACCGAGGCCUCAAACAAUGGGGAGGAUAGUAGUGAGGAGAAAAAACGGAACGAGGACACAACAGCAGCACCUCGUAGGAGGACCAGGUUUGAAGAUUAGAAUGGAUGAGAAUUUGAUGCCCUCUUGAGGUGGUCUAUAGUUUGGCUUCUGUGAGACUCCUCCAGAUUUUAAUUGUAUCGCCGUUACUAAUUUUUUGCCUUGAUACGGAUAUGCAGCGAGUUUUUACCCGUUAAAUUUAUAAUGUUAAAUAAUGUAUGAUAAUGUAAAUGAGAUCUUAUCUAAUAGGAUAUUGUAAUGGUUCCCCUCCCCCAUGAAAUUAUUGUAAAAUUUCGUGUCAAAAGUUGUUUGUUGCUGGCCAACAGGGGUUUAUGCAUAAGUUGAGGGGGGGCAUUUGGUGCACAUGGGGGUGGAUUAGUUGAGGAUAAAUUCUGCAGAGGUGUGGGCUCAGGCGGCAUUCAUAUGUGGUGUUUUUAUUCCAAUAUACGUGGAAUUGAUAUUUCUUAAAGUAGUCUGCAGGUAAGGUAUGGUACAGUAAGAUCAAAGCUUGAUUUGUUUAUUUGGUGAGGGUUUUACAGAAGGGCUUGUAAGGUCUGAUCUCGGAGAUUGUUGUUUGUCUAAGUGGUGAGGUUGUUUUGAGGUUUUAAAUUUCAGAGGCAUUAUUUUCUGGUUACACGGAUUGAUUUGUAAUUUUCCUUGGCGUAAUAUUUGUGCUUGUGAGUUGGAAUUGUUUGUGAGCAGGUUUCAUUCGAAGUUGGCCUUCUAUAGGUGCAAUUUGUGCUGGUUUAUUAUUUUAUUAUCUUGCUCUUGGUUUGUGGCAAUUUCUAAUAGGAUUUCGUUUUAUAAUUUUCUAUGCCACGUAAGUUUGCUUGGACUUUUAUUAUUUUAUAGAUUUUCAUUAUGUUUAUUUCUUGGAGUGUGUUUGGAGAAAUCUUUUAUUUGGACAUGAGAGUUCUUUUAUCUUAUAUUUUUUUUGUUUAAAUUUAUAAAAUUCGUAUAAGGUGCGGUCCUCAAUCAUCAAAAAGAAAAUACAAUUCUAAAAUAAGAACAUAUUUGUUGUG